GAGUCUUAACAAAGAUCUGCAUCUGUAAUUCACAAAAAACUGAGAUUAAUCGCUUGGAUAAUCUCAAAUCCGAUUAAAAAAGCUACCACCAGAUCUGAAUAUAAAUCACAUAUCGGAUCAAAUUCAAAGAAUCGACGCCUAAAUAUACAAAUCUGUGAAAUCUACGAACCCUAGUUCAGAAUAUAGAUGAGAUCUAGCGAUGAAACUCAGAUAUUUAUCUCCGAUCAAAGAUUAACCGAAUCAAACUCAAAGAACAGGGACGAAAUUGCGAUCGAAUGGAAAAUAAUCGAAGAAACUGAAUAAGAACCCAGAAAUUUACCUUGAUCCCGAUUGAGAGAUUUGA